rnacentral:rRNA from 1 species
UACGGAGGGUGCGAGCGUUAUUCGGAAUUACUGGGUUUAAAGGGUGCGUAGGCGGCUAAGUAAGUUGUCAUUGAAAGGCUACAGCUCAACUGUAGUAGUGGUGGCGAUACUGCUUAGCUAAGAACAUGGGAGGGGUACUUGGAAUGUGUGGUGUAGCGGUGAAAUGCGUAGAUAUCACACAGAACACCAGAGGCGAAGGCGGAGUACUAGACCAUAGUUGACGCUGAGGCACGAAAGCGUGGGGAUCAAACAGGAUUAGAUAC